AAAGCAUUGAAAGUAAAUAAUAAGAAAUUAAUUUCUUCCCAGGAAACAAGCAAAACGUGAUUUUUGCUCCAUUGUAGCUUGUAUUUAAAACAGUGGCCAGGCUUCUUCUUAAUUAUAUACUGCUUGUUCUGCCCUGUUAUUGAUUCCAAGAAAAUAAAGGGACAGUUGUAAGAUAACUGAGGCCUGGUUUUUAAAAAUUCUCUGAAGUGAAUACCCUAUUCCUGCAAUUUAGAAGUGGGUCUGAACCUGGCCUCACAUAUCACGUGGAUGAUAUUCAAUCCUGGAAGUCAUCCUUGGGAAGCCAAAUCAAUUCUCUAGCCAUUCUGGAUAUUCACAUCUAGUACCAAGUGGAUUUGGAGUGGAGAUGGGAGGGAUCUAUCAGUAAGGAAUAUAGUAGCACUCUGAUAGUGAUACCUUGGUUUAUACAAAUUUAAGGGGGUGUUUAUUCAUCACCACCCCAAAUCAUCUGAUUUGCUGACUGUUUUAAAAUAUACCCUAGAUUUGUUUUAAUCAGGUAUGAUGAGGCCAACAGAUCAGGAGACAACUGUCAAGAAGGAAGAAGCUUUUACUCAACAAUUCCCUAGAAAAAGGAGGUAUAGCCCACAGGGCCACAUGUGGAAGCACCUGGGUCUGUCAGGAGCCCGAAGGAGCAAGCGUUUAUUGUCGUUUCUGCAAGAAUGACAAGGCAGGGCAAGAGCUAUUGUUGGAAGAGGUCAUCCAGGGGAUCUGACCACUGGUUGAUUCGAGAGCUGGACCCAGGCAACUGGAAGCUUCUCACCUUGUCCCCAUUCUUGGAAUGCACAUUCUGCCCACCAUUCCCACACUAGGAGCUGUUUCAAAGACUUAGCCUUGAGAGACCUCACUUCCGCCUAAAUAUGGCCUUGUGGUGAAGCUCUGGCCAAUAGGAUAAAACUGAAUGUGAUGUAUGGAAUCUUGGAGUUGUACCCUUAAAGGAAGGAGUGUCGCCAUCAUGUUUCCCGUUUUUCUUCCUGCUAUUUGGAAUGUGAUUGUGGGGCUGAGCCCAUUUCGAUGUGAAUGGAGGCAACACUUUUCAUUCACAUCAAGAAGAUGUGAGCAACGGUACGGAUAUUGGAGAAACAGAUGUAAGGAGCUGGGGUCCCUGAAGUGUAAAGCCACUAUACCAGCCAAAAACUGUUUAUGCUCAGUUUUGGGGCUUUAUGCAGAAGUUGAACUUGUAUCCUCACCUGUGACUCUGCCAAUCAAGA